GGGGGUGUUUUGGUUUCGACAGGGUGGUUGAAAAGCAAGUUAAGCGGAGUGUGGUCGCCAAGUCCCACAAUAAUAAAAUGGCAAAUUGCUUAAACGCAGAAAAAAAUUAUACUCCAGCAUUGGCUAUUGCAGCCUAACUGGCGUCUUGACUUAAGCCUUCUUGGCGACUUUUGUUAAGGCGACAACAAGUCCAAGAAUUCCCACCCAAGAUGUUUGAGUAGGGUUGGUCUUAUUUAUCAAACUUUGGUCAAUGGAUUUUGUUGUUUUGGAAGUUGACCGAAAUUCUCAAAACAACUAUCUUCGUAGAAAGACUUGUUUUUGCCAUUUUGGACAGGAGUUCAAUUCUCCUCACCUCCACCA
rnacentral:tmRNA from 1 species